GCGCGGCUUACGAACCGCGCUGGCGGUCUCGUCGCAUGUAUGUCCCUGCCUGUCCCGGCCUCUGCGUGGGGAACCACUCUGGGACUCUGGGACUCUAUGCAAUGCAGAGAAACAUCUAGUCGUUGGAUAAGAUAUUGUACCCAAACAUAUCACUGCUAAUACUUUACUCUCCUGAGACAUGACAUUUAAGGAGCUCAUGACCAGGGAUCCUGGUUUCAUUUUAAAUCACAGUAAAAUGUGGAUUUGUGGUUACUUCUUUUAAUAUGAAAAUUGGGUUGGGUUUUUUUUGUCAGAGAAAACCACGAUCCCUGCUAAUGACACUUUACAACAAUUAAUCUAUACAUUUCUAGAGUUUAAGGCAGAAGGUAUAAUUAGACUAUCUAGUGUGACCUCCUGCUUUUACAUUCCACCCAGUUGCCAUUGCAUUGAUCUCAAUUCCUUAUAUUGAACUAAAGUGUAUCUUCAAUAAAGAACAAAGGCAUCUACCUUUAAACUGAAGCAAUCAAAACAUGGAAAAUUCUUUCAUUUUGAAUGGCUCAGUUUUUGUACAGCUCUCAGAAAAGCAUUUUCUAGGAGUACAAAGUCAGGUGUUUCCAUUUUGUAAUAAUCUAAAGCAGGGGCAGGCAGUUAUUUUGGCUGGAGAGCCGCUUAACAAGUUUUGGCAAGCUGUCGAGGGCUCCAAGGUUAGCCCCACCCCUUGACAGGUGGCCCAUCCUUGGGUGCCAUCUUGGGACUGGAAGUCCCACCCCCUAAGCCAUGACCUUUGCCACUGUAGGUCCCUCCCCUUCCCCCAAAAGUACUCAAUUUGGGAAGUAGAUUUGCCAUCUUGGAACUGGAAAAAAAACAAAUUAUAUGCUAAAAAUGAAACAUCCAAAAUAACAUAUUUCAAUUUUAUUUAAAAUAUAUAUAUAUUUUUGUCCUUAUU